rnacentral:rRNA from 1 species
CAGCCGCCGCGGGAAUACGGAGGGGGCUAGCGUUGUUCGGAAUUACUGGGCGUAAAGCGCGCGUAGGCGGUUACUCAAGUCAGAGGUGAAAGCCCGGGGCUCAACCCCGGAACUGCCUUUGAAACUAGGUGACUAGAAUCUUGGAGAGGUCAGUGGAAUUCCGAGUGUAGAGGUGAAAUUCGUAGAUAUUCGGAAGAACACCAGUGGCGAAGGCGACUGACUGGACAAGUAUUGACGCUGAGGUGCGAAAGCGUGGGGAGCAAACAGGAUUAGAUACCCGGGUAGUCCCUGUCUCUUUACA